rnacentral:rRNA from 1 species
UAGGGAAUCUUCCACAAUGGACGCAAGUCUGAUGGAGCAACGCCGCGUGAGUGAAGAAGGUUUUCGGAUCGUAAAGCUCUGUUGUUGGUGAAGAAGGAUAGAGGCAGUAACUGGUCUUUAUUUGACGGUAAUCAACCAGAAAGUCACGGCUAACUACGUGCCAGCAGCCGCGGUAAUACGUAGGUGGCAAGCGUUGUCCGGAUUUAUUGGGCGUAAAGUGAGCGCAGGCGGAAUGAUAAGUCUGAUGUGAAAGCCCACGGCUCAACCGUGGAACUGCAUCGGAAACUGUCAUUCUUGAGUGCAGAAGAGGAGAGUGGAAUUCCAUGUGUAGCGGUGGAAUGCGUAGAUAUAUGGAAGAACACCAGUGGCGAAGGCGGCUCUCUGGUCUGCAACUGACGCUGAGGCUCGAAAGCAUGGGUAGCGAACAGG